rnacentral:rRNA from 1 species
GACAGAGGGUGCAAACGUUGUUCGGAAUUACUGGGCGUAAAGCGCGUGUAGGCGGCUUGGCAAGUCGGGUGUGAAAGCCCCGGGCUCAACCUGGGAAGUGCACUCGAAACUGCUUGGCUGGAGUACUGGAGAGGGAAGCGGAAUUCUCGGUGUAGAGGUGAAAUUCGUAGAUAUCGAGAGGAACACCGGUGGCGAAGGCGGCUUCCUGGACAGUGACUGACGCUGAGACGCGAAAGCGUGGGGAGCAAACAGG